rnacentral:rRNA from 1 species
AUUGAACGCUGGCGGCAGGCUUAACACAUGCAAGUCGAGCGGAGAUGAGGUGCUUGCACCUUAUCUUAGCGGCGGACGGGUGAGUAAUGCUUAGGAAUCUGCCUAUGAGUGGGGGACAACAUCCCGAAAGGAAUGCUAAUACCGCAUACGCCCUACGGGGGAAAGCAGGGGAUCUUCGGACCUUGCGCUAAUAGAUGAGCAUAAGUCGGAUUAGCUAGUUGGUGGGGUAAAGGCCUACCAAGGCGACGAUCUGUAGCGGGUCUGAGAGGAUGAUCCGCCACACUGGGACUGAGACACGGCCCAGACUCCUACGGGAGGCAGCAGUGGGGAAUAUUGGACAAUGGGCGGAAGCCUGAUCCAGCCACGCCGCGUGUGUGAAGAAGGCCUUUUGGUUGUAAAGCACUUUAAGCGAGGAGGAGGCUACCUGGAUUAAUACUCUAGGAUAGUGGACGUUACUCGCAGAAUAAGCACCGGCUAACUCUGUGCCAGCCGCCGCGGUAAAAC